ensembl:lncRNA
UGAAUUUUUAGUUAUUUUUUUAUUUUGUUUCCCUAAAUGGACGUCGGUGAUGAUUUAAAGUGUAAGAGUAGUGGACAGAAGUGAUUUCUGAGCAUUUUCUACACUGAGACUUCCAUAUAUAGUUUUUCCUUUGAGUUUCUUGCUUUUCCCAUUCAUUGUAAUAGUCCUAACAAGAGUGUUUCUACAGGUGCUGUGAAAGCCCAGAGAUGUGACUGGUCUGUAGGGGACUGAGGAGGUGAGGAUGAGUGUUUGCAGAGGAAACUUGUGCUUCUCUAAGGUGUUCGCUGUGGAGAGACUACACUUGCUCUUAAAUCAAACUAUAAUGAUAAAAUUCCUAAAGCUGAAAUUGAAGGUGCCUUUUUAAUUGCUUGGGUGCGGGGCCAUAUUUACAAAUAUUUCAAACCUAAGUAUUAAUAACCCCAGUGUGCCUUUGCAUGGAUAAACUAAUAUUUGCAUGUAAAACUAAUGGGGAUAUUACUGCUUUCAUUUGACUGGCAAAGUGUGAUUUGUACACAAUGUACAACAAAUGAACAGGAAAUCUAUUUUAAAUGAAAAUGUUAAAUAUUUGGCCACAACACUGACUUGUAACGCUGUUCCUGGAGUCCUGAUCCACACGUUUAGUUUUCUCUCUGCUAACACCUCAGGGAAGCAUCAGUCUUUGCCAUAAAUUUGUGCUCCUGUGAUGACACUUAUUUGCUACUCUUGAGAAGAUGUGAUGAUACUCCAACCACCAAGUUGUAUUAUCUGAGGCACUACUUACUCCCAACCUGUGAGCUUAAAAGUUUAUAUCAUUUUAAUCACUUUAUUUUUACCCACAGGUGUCCUCAGGUCCGAGUCCUAUCGCUAACAGACGGUCCUGAUGUUGGAUCCAGAUGUGCAUUCUUGGAUCGGCUGCAGGUAGGUUUUUUCUUUGAGGAGCCGGCCUGUAAAAAUAAAACUGUUUCGAUGCAAUGAUGAGUGCAUAGUUCAGCAGAUUAAACUGUGAAGAAUUACUGUUGUCUUUCGCUCCUAGCUGAUGUGUCGGCCUCUGCAACCUUUGAGGGUCACUGGGUUUGAGUUCUUUCUAAACUUAUAUAUUUAAUUUUUUUUUUUUUCAGGAGUCCCACAAAAGGCAAAGUGGAGGUGAGUUGAAAUCCUGCUCUACGUUUCUUUUAAUGACGCUCGAUGCAGUGAUGAGUGCAUAGUUCAACAGAUUAAACUAUGAAGAAUAACUAUCGUCUUUCGCUCCUAGCUGAGCAUCAACUUAUGUAGUCCCACAAUCACUGAUGUGUUUAAAACAAAGUGAUAAUCUAGUUCUUUCUCUUCAGAUGUGAACACCUUGCUGUCUGACUCGUUGCUGCUCUGCUGGUAAGCAUUAAAUCUCAAACACUGCAGCGGGGAUGUCACAGUACCACAAACCUGAUGCUCUGCACCAAUAGAACUACACAUGUCAAUACAGUUGAUGGACAAAAUGACCAUUCACACACUGACAUGGUGGCAGAUAAUUUAUCUCAAAUAACACUUUUAACAAGGCACAGACUAAAUUGCAUAGUAUGGUAAUUACACAUUUAUAGACUUGUUAUACAAAAGGAUAAGCAUGACUAGAAUUACCACAGCAAACCAUUUAACCUAUGAAAUAACAGCCGUCUCAAUGGUAACAUCAUCAGGAUGAUGCCUUGAAUUAAAACUUGCUCAGCUUUAAGUCUUUGAAGUUUAAGUGCUUUGUUAACUUGUGGUGCUUGGACUGUAUGAAACUGCAUCAUUCUUUGAUCGCUUACUCCACCUAAAAAGUGUAAAGUACAUCAUUCAUAGCAAAAUACGAACUCUGCCAUAUGAGUUUAAGCGGAGCUAUUAUGGCGGCUGCAUAAAUGGUCCUUUUCCACAGGUAGUGUUUCCUGUGCUGUUGGAUUUCCUCUAAUAUGUAAGAAUGUAUCUAGAAAUAUGGCAGCUUAGUACAUACACUGCCUGCAGUACCAAAGAAAAGCACGUGAUCUCCGAUUAUUUAUUUAUUUUUUUAUUUUUUUUUUUUUGUAACAAAUGUUAGCGUUAGGUAUCAUUUCUGGUGACAUCCCUGCACAGCAGCUAACAGCUUUCAGAUGUGAUGAGUUUGAAUCAGGUCGCUGAUCCAGUUGAGGAUAAUUUGUAACUGACUCUGAUCUGGGUUUUUAAUGUUGGGGGGAAAAAAGUGAGCAUGGUUCUGUAAAUUUACCCGAAACUUAAUUUGUUUUUACAGAACGAGCGGGCUCGCGACUCAUCACCAUUCAGAAGAUGAUUAAACACUCAUGGUUGUUCUGUGUGAGGGAUGGAGACCCAGUGUGGACCACACCAGAGUGACUGAGGUGAGAAAACUGACUUAAAAGUGCACGAUGGUCAUAAGGGGUUCAGUGAUGUUACAACAAAUGUCUGACCUGAACACUCAUGUGGACAGUCUGUCACUGAGCAACCCAGUGAAUAAAAUAUGAAUCAGCCAGUCGCUGACUUGUAAUAAGGUUUUUCAUUCUUCUUUUUCAGAUGGGGGGGAAAAGUUCAAGUUCUUUACCUGGUGUGAAGCCUCAGACACUGAAGCACAAUCAAGCACAAGUCUGUCACUUCAUAAUAAAUCUAAAUGGUGCUGUUUCCUCAAAAGCUGGAAAGUGAUGUUGACAGAUUUUCACCUGCAGGAAUCGGUGUUCAGACCCUGCUCGUGCUAUUACGUCUGGAUUGUGACCUGAUCCUGUUGACUUCAAUUUGUAACAAUAAAAUAUUUGUUAUUGACUCA